UCAGACGAUGCGUCAUGCAUAUCAAUAAGCGGAGGAAAAGAAACUAACAAGGAUUCCCCUAGUAACGGCGAGUGAAGCGGGAAGAGCUCAAAUUUGAAAUCUUAAAGGGUUUCCCUUUACGAAUUGUAGUUUAAAGAAGUGUUUUCUGUUGAGGUUUUGGUAAAAGUUCUUUGGAAUAGGACAUCAUAGAGGGUGAGAAUCCCGUAUUUGACCUUUACUUUCAACUUUGUGAUACACUUUCAAAGAGUCGGAUUGUUUGGGAAUGCAGUCCAAAAUGGGUGGUAAAUUUCAUCUAAAGCUAAAUAUUGGCGAGAGACCGAUAGCGAACAGGUACCGUGAGGGAAAGAUGAAAAGAACUUUGAAAAGAGAGUUAAACAGUACGUGAAAUUGUCAAAAGGGAAGCGUUUGACACCAGUGUUGUUUUUCUGAAAAUCAAUUAAAGACUGUUUAUGCUAAGCUGUUUAGACUUUAUCAGCUAUCUGUUUAGUUUUGAGCUUUUCUUUAAUGCACUUUUCAGUUAACAAGUCAACAUCAAUUUCUUUUGCUGUAAAAAAGCUUGAGGAAGGUGGCUUGAGAUUCGUCUUAAGUGUUUAUAGCCUCUUGCCUAUGCAGUCGGAGAGAUUGAGGUCUGCAGCGUAGAUCCUUCGGGGCUAAAUGCAUUUGUGCUAAGUUAUAGCAUUUUAUAGACAACUUGUUGACUAUGAUUUGUCUUGUAGCUUACUCGCUUAUGUUAUUUUACCUACGCUUAGGAUGUUGACACACGCGCGUGCUCG
rnacentral:rRNA from 1 species